CCAGCCAGCCUGCAGAGAGCGGGGCAGGCAUGUGACGCUGGGCAAGUCUGUGCCCUGUUGGAGCCUCAGAUCCAGAAAACGGGUUUAGAUGCAAUUCAGGUUUGGAUCUGCUCAUGGGAAAGGGCCCAGCCUGGUGAGUGGUCAUAGGCUGAUGAGGAGAAAAGUAGGUCCAGGACUGAUUUCUUCCAGGCAACUGAGGCACAGACACCGCCACUCCGGAACUGGGCCCUGUACCAUCUGGCCCUUCGGGAGGGGGAGUAGGGAGUGCCAGGCUUGGGAGCUCGGUGACUAGAGAGGAAAGGAGGGGCUGCGCGGGGGCGGGGAGGGCCUUGCAAGGUGAAAAGGGGGUGGUCAGGGUCCUUGACCCCUAAACUCCAUCUCUUCCCUGUCCUGCUGACCCACCCUCUGCCCCUGAUCUCAGCCCCUCAGGUUUGGUUCCAGGCCAGGGACCUGGCUGGGCCUAGUUUGGACAACCAAGCAGAACAGGUGUGGGUGUGGCCACCUGCUUCCCCACAGACCAAAUGAAUGUUUGUGGAAGAGAAGCCAAAGGGCGGCCGAGCAUCAGAGACCCUCAGUCCUCCUGCAGCUUCCUGAGCAGGGACUCCAGGUGAGAGACCUUCUCUGACAAGCUCCUGGGUUCUGGCCUGAGGACAUGGGGGUCAAGACUCAGUUGGACUGAGGCAGCGCACUCACCCUCCCGGGACAGCGACUCCAGGAUGGUGUUGCAAGUGGAGGCGAUUUCCGAGAUGGACUGCCACUCGUCUUCCAGAGUCUCCAUGCCCGCCUCCGACAUGACUGGGCACAAAGAGGUGGGCUCAGCGAGGGAAGCGCCGGCAGCCUGCCCACGGCCCACGGCCCACGGCCCACCUCCGACCCUGUACUCCACCUUGCACCAGACUCACUUUUGCUGAUGGAGUUUCGAAGAGACAAGGUUCGUGGCAGGAAGGAGGCCCUCAUCUCUGGGGCCGGGUCGCCUCUGUCCUCACCGCCACUGGGGCUGGCUGGGCCCUCCUGAGGGCGGAAACGGGUAUGGGUGCCGUGAUGCCCACCAUCACCGCUGUGCCCACCCCUGCUGGUAGGGCUCCAGAGCCUGGUUUCUGCUCACCUGGGUGGGGGGUGUCUCCCUGCCAGCACCAGGAGGUGACGGCUUGGCCGUGGUUGCCAGGAGGAGGUCUGGGGUGGUGUUGGGCAGGACUGGGGCCUCAUCGGACAGGGAGCUGGGGAGAGCAAGGAGAGCUCAGCACUGGAAGCUGCACCACGGCCCUUGCUUGCAGAGGCCGCCUGCGCAGUCUCACUGGGCUGCAGGAGAGCGAGGGCGAGAGGGUGCACCUGCAGGGCGAUGGCGAGUUCUGGCUGCACAGGAACUCAGUCCGCUCCUCGGCUAGGUCCCCAGGCCCCGGAGGACCGCUGCCCUCGCUCAGGCACACGUGCAGCAGCUGCUUCGUGGAGGGCAUCAGGGCCUCCUCAGGGGCCCCUUCCUGCACCGGCUCUGGGGCCCCACGCCGGCUGGGCUCCUGCAGGGACAGCCUGUACAGCUCCGAGAAGCUCCUGGGGGAGGAGGGGAGCUUCAGGUAGGAAGGCCCCGUCCCCAGCUUCCUGCACACCCCGCCCCACCCCCAGCUGUCGAGGCUCACUUCCAGGAGGAGAGCUCUCCACACUCCCUAACACUGAAAAAAUGUUAGCCUGGCUACUGGCCGCUUUUCCAGACUUUAAUCCAAAGCGCAGUGCUGUCCUGUGUGCCCUAGGCACGUCACUGUCCAUUUCUCCGCCUGUGAAACGAGGCGACAGUCCUGGCCUCAUACCUUCCGGUAAGGGUUUAAAUGGCGCAGGCACAUGCCCGGCUGGUGUUGCUCAGUGGGUGAGCGUCGACCAAUGAACCAGGGGGUCACGGUUCGACUUCCGUCAGGGCACAUCUCUGAUUACCGGCUCUAUCCCCAGUGCGGGGCGUGCAGGAGGCAGCCGACCCAUGAUUCUCUCUCAUCACUGAUGUUUCUACCUCUCCCUCCCUCUCUGAAAUCAAUAAAAAUAUAUUUUAAAAA